UCUCGAAUAGCAUUAUGGCUGA
rnacentral:miRNA from 1 species